AGUGAAAUAGGUUUGACAUCCUUAUUUCAAAGCUGGUGAAGAUGAGGUGACUUGAAUUUGAAAGAAUUAUUUGUGGAAAUAAACUAGAGAUGGAGAGCCUGUAUAGAAGAAUCAUAUAUGGCUUUUAGCUGCAAAGGAUUCUUGGGCUACCUUCAGAUCUUCCUGCUCCCCAUGGAUAUGAGCUUCAGUUUCUAAUCUCCCAUUUUUCAACCUCUCCUCAGAGCCGAGCUUCACCCACCCCGCAUUUGCUUUUCUUGAAGGGGGUCAUAGUGGUUCGGGGCAUCGGCGAUCAGAAGGGGUUUCUUCCAUCUGAUGGAGAAGUGGGUUUGAGAAUAGGAGCAAGAAGGAGCGAAGCAAGCUGUGAGACCGAUAGGUAAUCUCAGCCGUAUCUUCUCCGCCUCGAGAUUCCUCUCCUUGGAUUUCAUAGGCCAUUCUCUUUGUUCAAAGCUUUGAACUUUGCAUCAUAAUUUGCCUCUUUCUCCUUCAACUUCUCCAUUCUCUUUUCCAGUGCCUGCUCUGUUUUAUAACAACCUUUUAUGCCAUGUGCUUGAUUUCAGCUUCCUUUUAUCUACUUCAGACACUUCGUUUUCCAACUCUUCGUCCAAAGAUUUAAUCUUUUCAUCAUUUUUUAAUUCAAACUCAGACUUCUUCCGGGUCAAGUGAUGAGUGUUUUUUUAGCGUUUUAGUCUUUUUCUAAAGACUCUCAUGUAAAGCUAACAUGAUUUGUUACAUACAAAUAUAGUCAAAGAAAGAUGAGACGAGA